AUUGAACGCUGGCGGCAUGCUUUACACAUGCAAGUCGAACGCGGUCGAGGGGCAACCCUCGACUGAGUGGCGAACGGGUGAGUAAUGCAUCGGAACGUACCCCGUCGUGGGGGAUAACCAGUCGAAAGACUGGCUAAUACCGCAUACGACCUUUCGGGGUGAAAGCGGGGGACCGCAAGGCCUCGCGCGAUGGGAGCGGCCGAUGCCGGAUUAGCUAGUAGGUAGGGUAAAGGCCUACCUAGGCGACGACCCGUAGCUGGUCUGAGAGGAUGAUCAGCCACACUGGGACUGAGACACGGCCCGAG
rnacentral:rRNA from 1 species